rnacentral:rRNA from 1 species
AUGCUUAACACAUGCAAGUCGAACGGUAACAGAGAUAGCUUGCUAUCUGCUGACGAGCGGCGGACGGGUGAGUAAUGCUUGGGAAUAUGCCUUUGAGUGGGGGACAACAGUUGGAAACGACUGCUAAUACCGCAUAACGUCUACGGACCAAAGGGGGGGAUCUUCGGACCUCUCGCUCAUAGAUUAGCCCAAGUGAGAUUAGCUAGUUGGUAGGGUAAUGGCUUACCAAGGCGACGAUCUCUAGCUGGUUUGAGAGGAUGAUCAGCCACACUGGGACUGAGACACGGCCCAGACUCCUACGGGAGGCAGCAGUGGGGAAUAUUGCACAAUGGGCGAAAGCCUGAUGCAGCCAUGCCGCGUGUGUGAAGAAGGCCUUCGGGUUGUAAAGCACUUUCAGCGAGGAGGAAAGGGAUGUAGUUAAUAACUGCAUUCUGUGACGUUACUCGCAGAAGAAGCACCGGCUAACUUCGUGCCAGCAGCCGCGGUAAUACGAGGGGUGCAAGCGUUAAUCGGAAUUACUGGGCGUAAAGCGUGCGUAGGUGGUUUGUUAAGCAAGAUGUGAAAGCCCCGGGCUCAACCUGGGAACUGCAUUUUGAACUGGCAAGCUAGAGUAUUGUAGAGGGUAGUGGAAUUUCCAGUGUAGCGGUGAAAUGCGUAGAGAUCGGAAGGAACACCAGUGG